rnacentral:misc_RNA from 1 species
GAGAACAGCAUAUCAGACAAACCUUAUGGGGGAGGAAUUUAUCUUGACACAUCCAUCUUGACUGUUGAUUAUAGAGCAUUUAUUGAAAUUGUGUUUGAGAACAGCGAAGACAUCGUCCAGAGCUGGCAUCUUGAUGGUUACAGUUUCUUUGUUGCUGGUAUGGACGGAGGACAAUGGACAUCAGAUAGCAGGAACCAAUACAACCUUCGUGAUGCAGUUGCACGCUGCACCACUCAGGUGUAUCCCAACUCAUGGACUGCUAUUUACGUGCCACUUGACAACGUAGGGAUGUGGAACUUAAGGUCGGAGUUUUGGGCUCGCCAAUACCUAGGCCAGCAGCUGUAUUUGCGAGUUUACACUGCAUCAACUUCACUUAGAGAUGAAUAUCCCAUUCCAAAGAAU